GACUGAGGGGAUGGAGGAGAGUGGUAGAGGAGAGACUGGAAACCAGGGAGGGCAUGGGCAGCCCUGGGAAGACUGCAGAGGUUGAAGAUGUGGAGGACACACCAGGCUGGGCGGAGCGGUGCUUAGCAGGCACUAGUGAGGCAGGUUAUCAAAGCAGGGACUAUCCCAGGGAUGUGGUCACCAUGAUUGUGGUCGAGGGGCCUGAAGGCAUAGCUGAGCCUGCCUGGGCUCAGGCAGAGUGAAGAUACAGGCCCUGCCUGCUCCUGCUCCUGCUCCUGCUCUAGAGACUGUUCCAGGGAUCACCAGAGGCCUGGCAGGAAGCUGGUGGCUCAUGUGCAGGUCAGGCAGGGCCAGAGGCAGGCGGAUGGGGCACUUUCUUUGGGAAGAGCUUGAAGAGGGCAUUGCUGAUGCCUCCACCCCAGGCUGUGAUGAGCACUGUACCCAGUGGGGGGCUGGUGGCUGGAGGAGGGAGUAUGUCCAGGAAAGGAUUUCUGCAGGGCAUCUAGCCAUCCUGUCACUGCAGGGCUGUGAUGGAAACCUGUGGACACAUGACCACUGAGGGGACUGCUGCACCAGUUUAUUUGUUUAUUUUAUUUACUUAUUUUUAUUGUUUUUGAGACAGAGUCUCGCUCUGUCGCCCAGGCUGGAGUGCAGUGGUGUGAUCUCAGCUUACUGCAACCUCCGCCUCCUGGGUUAAAGCAAUUCUCCUGCCUCAGCCUCCCGAGUAACUGGGACUAUAGGUGCAUGUUGCCACACCUGGCUAAUUUUUUGUAUUUUAGUAGAGACGGGGUUUCACCAUGUUGCCCAGGCUGGUCUCGAACCCCUGAGCUCAGGCAAUCGGCCUGCCUCGGUGCCUCAAAGUGCUAGGAUUACAAGCUUGAGACAUUGUGCCCGGCCUGUUGCCCCAGUUUAGGACUCAGACAGAGGCUACUGUUCCUCCAGGGACCAGGGGAGCCCCAUACCACUGAAGGGCUGGUUUCUUCCCUUCAUGAAGCUUUUCCUUCCGGCCACCCACGGGGACCCUGACAUGUGCAGGGCACCUCAGGAGAGAAAGGCAGAGCUCCGUCUUCAACUCAACACAGAAGAAAAACCCGCAUUUUUCAAAGCAGCGAAGACUCAGAUGGGAGCAUCAGGAGGAGAGGCCAUCCUGGUGGUCUGGGGCUGUGGAGCCAGGCUCUGAGGACUCAGUGGGCCACUGACUUGGGGUGAGGAGAGCAAGGGCUAGCCAGGCAGAGCCACAAUAAAAAUGAUGACAGCUAAUGGUAAUUAGGGGUUGAAAUUUGUACCUCCUUCGCUAUGAGCAUAAAGUGAGAUGCUCCGAGACAGUGCGCAGGCCUGGCACCUGAGCGCACCUGCAGUUGUAGCUGUGAUUAUUACUACUCAGGCAGCCACAGCAAACUGAGCACUGUGCCCUGUACCCUGGGUGCCCUUUCUGACUUUCCCUGCCCCCUCACCGCCCGGUCCUUCAGCGCUGGGACCCUGUGUGACAGCGCGGCAGCCCUACACCUGUGUGGCUUGUCAUGGAUUCUGCCACACCACACAGUGGAUUAGGAUGCCUUGUUCCUUCACGUUAGCUGUGCCGUUUCUACCAGGAGACAAUUAGCGAAGAGGAACGCAGGAUUCUGCAGCUCAAACGUCGCCGGCUCCGGAUGCCUCCUCAACUCCCCCAUUCUGGGUGGCCCUCAAGGCAGGGUUUUUAUGAUGACCUGUAUUUUGUGCUGACCUCCUAUCUCAUCCUGUGACUUAGAAUGCCUCACCAUCUGGGAAUGCAGCCCAGUAGGUCUCAGCCUCAUUUUAGCCAGCUCCUAAUCAAGAUGGAGUUGCUGUGGUUCAAACGCCUUUGACAGCUUCAUUCAUAUCAAAGAGCCCCUUGUCUUUGCCGAUCCUCCACCUCAACAUCCUACCUGAAAAAACAGAGCCGUGAGUAGGAGGUGGCAAUGAGGCAGGAGAAUAGGGCCUGGAGGCAGGGAACCUGGAAACACUUCAGUGAUGACAGCAAAUAUCUUCUUCAUUCACAAAGAGUGUACAUCGAGUAAAUGACUUUGUAACUUUACUUCAUCCUCUUCAUUUACACAGUAACCAAUGGAAACCUCUAGAGGGUAUUUAAACCCCAGAAAAUUCUGUAACUGGGCCUUAAGGCCGCUGGCUCAGGCCGCUCCCACCCUGUGGAGUGUGCUUUCAUUUUUAAUAAAUCUCUGCUUUUGUUGUUUCAUUCUUUCCUUGCAUUUUUUGUGGGUUUUGUCCAAUUCAUUGUUCAAAAUGCCAAGAACCUGGUAACAGUGACAGGCAGUCAGGUCCUCAGCUCCAUCUCCUGCCUCACAGGUGGGGAGAGCAGGAAGAGCACCUUCUCCCAGCUUUGAAUACGCAGAAAGGCCUCCUAGGUUCGGGCUGGUGUGGGAAGGAAAGGCGGGUGGUUUUUGUAGGUGUCUGCUCGUCACACUAAAGUGGGGAGGAUGUUUAGGCGGUUGGGGGCAGGGCUUGUGUUGCCCACCAAGGGGUAGAGCAACUGUGUGGGAGGCUGGCAGAAUGGCCGAGAGGCUCAGUAAGAAAAGGAACAUCUAUUUUGCCACUGGGGGUGGGCUGGGACCUGUCUGUCUUCCCAAGAUUUCAAUAAUGUUGGCUACACCCAAGUUGGAGUGCUCGCCUGGGGAAGGAAGGGAGGUUCUUUCUAUCCCAGGUUUGAAACAUUUCCCACCCCCUUGCCUUUGGGGAGGCUCUGGGGAAGGCCACUGCAUAUACCCCAAGACUUUGGUCCCGGUGUGACCAGCAG
rnacentral:lncRNA from 1 species